CUGGCUCAGGACGAACGCUGGCGGCGUGCCUAACACAUGCAAGUCGAACGGAGAUGGUGGGAUAGCUUGCUAUUUUAUCAU
rnacentral:rRNA from 1 species